rnacentral:rRNA from 1 species
AUACGUAGGUGGCGAGCGUUGUCCGGAAUUACUGGGUGUAAAGGGCGUGUAGGCGGGGCGUCGAGUCAGGUGUGAAAAUCCGAGGCUUAACUUCGGGUGUGCAUCUGAAACUGAUGUUCUUGAGUGUCGGAGAGGAAAGUGGAAUUCCCAGUGUAGCGGUGAAAUGCGUAGAGAUUGGGAGGAACACCAGUGGCGAAGGCGGCUUUCUGGACGAUAACUGACGCUGAGGCGCGAAAGCGUGGGUAGCAAACAGGAUUAGAUACCCUGGUAGUCCACGCUGUAAACGAUGGAUACUAGGUGUAGGAGGUAUCGACCCCUCCUGUGCCGGAGUUAACACAAUAAGUAUCCCACCUGGGGAGUACGGCCGCAAGGUUGAA